rnacentral:rRNA from 1 species
CUCCGGGUGAUCCUGCCGGACCCGACUGCUAUCGGAUUGAGAUUUAGCCAUGCGAGUCGAACGUCCCCCUGUUGCGGGGGGCGUGGCGUACGGCUCAGUAACACGUAGUCAACCUGCCCUGGAGACAAGGACAACCCCGGGAAACUGGGAUUAAUCCUUGAUAGGUCAUCUCAUCUGGAAGGAGAGAUGGCUUAAAGGGGUACGCGGGCUUCUUCCGCGAAUCUGCUCCAGGAUGGGACUGCGUCCGAUCAGGCUGUUGGCGGGGUAAUGGCCCACCAAACCUGUAACCGGUACGGGCCUUGAGAGAGGUGGCCCGGAGAUGGACACUGAGAGAAGGGUCCAGGUCCUACGGGGCGCAGCAGGCGCGAAACCUUCGCAAUGCGCGAAAGCGUGACGAGGUUAAUCCGAGUGACUCCCGCUGAGGGGGUCUUUUGUCAGCUGUAAAUAGGCAGGCGAAUAAGGGGAGGGCAAGCCUGGUGUCAGCCGCCGCGGUAAUACCAGCUCCUCGAGUGGUCGGGGCGAUUAUUGGGCCUAAAGCAUCCGUAGCCGGUUCCGUAGGUCCUCUGUUAAAUCCAACCGCUUAACGGUUGACCUGCAGAGGAUACCGCGGGACUAGGAGGCGGGAGAGGCGGACGGUACUCCGCGUGUAGGGGUAAAAUCCUUUGAUCCGCGGAAGACCACCAGUGGCGAAGGCGGUCCGCCAGAACGCGCUCGACGGUGAGGGAUGAAAGCUGGGGGAGCGAACCGGAUUAGAUACCCGGGUAGUCCCAGCCGUAAACGAUGCUAGCUAGAUGAUUCAUUCGCAAGUCGCGAAUGAAGUGUCGCAGGGAAGCCGUUAAGCUAGCCGCCUGGGGAGUACGGUCGCAAGACUGAAACUUAAAGGAAUUGGCGGGGGAGCA